rnacentral:rRNA from 1 species
GACGAACGCUGGCGGCGUGCUUAACACAUGCAAGUCGAACGAAGAGCGAUGGAAGCUUGCUUCUAUCAAUCUUAGUGGCGAACGGGUGAGUAACGCGUAAUCAACCUGCCCUUCAGAGGGGGACAACAGUUGGAAACGACUGCUAAUACCGCAUACGAUCCAAUCUCGGCAUCGAGGAUGGAUGAAAGGUGGCCUCUAUUUAUAAGCUAUCACUGAAGGAGGGGAUUGCGUCUGAUUAGCUAGUUGGAGGGGUAACGGCCCACCAAGGCGAUGAUCAGUAGCCGGUCUGAGAGGAUGAACGGCCACAUUGGGACUGAGACACGGCCCAGACUCCUACGGGAGGCAGCAGUGGGGAAUCUUCCGCAAUGGACGAAAGUCUGACGGAGCAACGCCGCGUGAGUGAUGACGGCCUUCGGGUUGUAUAGCUCUGUUAAUCGGGACGAAAGGUCCUCUUGCGAAUAGUUAGAGGAAUUGACGGUACCGGAAUAGAAAGCCACGGCUAACUACGUG